AUUGAACGCUGGCGGCGUGCCUAACACAUGCAAGUCGAGCGGUAACAGGUGUAGCAAUACAUGCUGACGAGCGGCGGACGGGUGAGUAACGCUUGGGAAUCUGCCUAUUAGUGGGGGACAACCCGGGGAAACUCGGGCUAAUACCGCAUACGCUCACGGAGGAAAGCCGGGGACCGCAAGGCCUGGCGCUAAUAGAUGAGCCUAAGUCCGAUUAGCUAGUUGGUAGGGGUAAUGGCCUACCAAGGCGACGAUCGGUAGCUGGUCUGAGAGGACGACCAGCCACACUGGGACUGAGACACGGCCCAGACUCCUACGGGAGGCAGCAGUGGGGAAUAUUGGACAAUGGGCGCAAGCCUGAUCCAGCGAUGCCGCGUGUGUGAAGAAGGCCUGCGGGUU
rnacentral:rRNA from 1 species